UCGGAAAACGGGGUGCGGGUUCCAGCUCCACCCACUCAGGGUGAAAGUGAUGGGCCGGGCUAAUAGGAGGCUCGCUGGAGCCAGAACAUCGCUUUAGAUAGAGGGCAAAGUUAAAAAUCACAACACCAUGUUAUAGCCUGUAGUCCAACAGAUUUAUUUGAAAGCUGUAGUUUUCGGAGCGCUGCUCCUUCAUCAGGUAGCUGUGGAGCAGGAUCAUAAGACACAGAAUUUAUAGGAAAAGAUUACAGUGACACUCUGACCUCACGUUUCACCUUCACUCACCGCCUUUGGGUGUGAUAGACGAACAUUUCUUUCAGGAGAAAGCGAGGAGUGCAGAUGCUGGAGAUCAGAGUCGAAGAGGGUGGUGCUGUAAAAGCACAUUCUGGAUCAGUGGUGCUGGAAAAGCACAGCAGUUCAGGCAGCAUCCGAGGAGCAGUAAAGCACAACCGGUCAGGCAGCAUCGGAGGAGCAGGAGAAUCGCGGUUUCGAGCAUAAGCUGUUCAUCAGCAAUGAGGAGGUGGCUCAAAGGAGCUGACAGCGCCGUGACCAUAUAGUAUUUAGUACUCUGCAUUGUGGCCACAGCAACCUUGGUAAGAAUCCACAUCACAGCAAUGAGUGGUCUCUCUGUUUCACUUCUCAUGAAAUAUACUAAAGAAACGUGAUUCAAGAUAAUACUGCCGAGAAAAAGAAUUAAACUGCAAAACCAACUCGUCUUGUUGAUUGGUUUCUUUGGCAGAUUUCAAAUCUUUGAAUCCCUACGCGGUGAAAGAACAACUCCGCCAAUCGAGUCUACAGCAUCCCAACCCAAACCUAGCUCUCCUCCAUAUCCCUGCAGACCUCAUCGGAUGAAGGGGCCACACUCAGAAAGCUUGUAAUUUCAAAUAAA